CUCAGCCUUUCCCACACUGGGUGUUGAAAUUGAGUUUGUGGUCCACAGGGAACCAUGGGCAGUACGGACCCCAACUUUAAAACGAGUUGAUUGAGUCUUGAAGCUGUUACUGUGAUUUCCAGGUAUUGCAAUUUCUGUCCAAGGGAUGGAAAAACAUCAUAAAUCGUUUGUUAUGUGGAGUAAAAGAAAGGAGUUUUACUGAUCAGGCUUCAGGACCAGCGUUCUGUGGACUUAUGAUUGAGGUCAAAUGGCCAGUGAAAUUCCUCCUCCAUGCACUGUGCUGCCAGAAGAGCCCAGCCGUGCUGGUCUGCAGGGCUUUUGAAAACCCAGCUCUUAAUGCCAGUUGAAAAUCUAGCCCUAGUUAUGGAAAUGGAGUAGGUCAAAGCUUAGGCCUAGAUAUAAUGAGCACAAGGGUAAGAAGGUAGGUUAUUUUCAACUACAGCAGACAGCCUUAUCUGCAUAGCCUCUGUACAAUUGAAAUCUGCAAAAAUCUCAACCAGGAGUCACAUUAGCAGAAUGAAUAUUAACCUGGGAGCCUCCACAAAAAAAAACUUUACCUUGACUUUCUGCUAUAUAUAUAUAUAUAUAAAUAUAUAUAUUUGCCUUGAUACAGCACUGUCACUGAGCAAUUUAAUUCUCUUCUGGGCACAAUUGUCAACCUGGUUUCCAGAAGGGACACAAGCCGCAGGAUUUAUUUUAUUCCAUUUAAGUAACUAUGACCAGUUGUCAUAAAUUGAGGAGCUGAAAUUGCCCGUUCCCUAAGGCUCUCUAACAAAUGAGAUCAGAAGUCCAAUGAAUACAUGUCUUGCAAAGCUUUUCAGUUCAAUUACGUAUACCCAUGUGCAACUGGUAACACCACACUCAGUUCAAAUAGUAUCUUUGCAGGUGUGAAAGACUGCAAAUUGAAGUCUACUUCACAUCAGUAUCCAACAUGUUACUGGAAAGAUUAAAAGGAAUAUUUUCAAGGGACAAAGGAUGAACAAUUAAUGAGCCCUGGAGUGACUCUGAAACAGGUAGCAAAGAAAAACAACUGUAAAAGGAGAAACCAUCAGAAGUGAGCAGUUUGGUGCCAAGUUUCAGAGGAGAUUAGUGGAGAGUUUCAGUAGAUCCAUUAGUGUUUGCAAAGUACUUGUGGAGUGGAUCAAUGAGCAUCAUAGAAACUCCCAGGAGGAAGUGAAUUAAAAGCUUUUGCUUUUGCUUUUUUUACAGUGGGAAGCAAAUAAAGCAGAGCUCACACACUGGCUGAUGAGACUAAGGCAAGGCAUUGUAUGGACAUCUGCUCAAAAGCCAGAAAGUGAAUGGGACCUCAGGAGAUUUUCCAGGCCAUCUUUCUGCAGGGAAGGGCCUGAUUCCCUUUCAUGGUUCCCUGCUGAAGUACAGAAGUACAUCCAGCUAUAAGAGAAGAAGAUCCAUCUUUCAGCAUCAGGAGAUUAAAGGACUAGAGUGAGAUAACAUUUUGCAAGCCUGAAACGAUUUGAAAAUCCCUUUCCUGCUAUUUCUGGAAAAAAGUCAAUG